UGGGGAAUUUUGCACAAUGGGGGAACCCUGAUGCAGCGACGCCGCGUGAUUUAGAAGGCCUUCGGGUUGUAAAAAUCUUUUUUACGGGAUGAAAAUGACAGUACCGUAAGAAUAAGGUCCGGCUAAAUACGUGCCAGCAGCCGCGGUAAUACGUAUGGACCGAGCGUUGUCCGGAAUCAUUGGGCGUAAAGGGUACGUAGGCGGCCUAGUAAGUUAGAAGUGAAAUAAUAUAGCUCAACUAUAUAAAGCUUUUAAAACUGCUAGGCUUGAGAGAUGGAAGGGAAAGUGGAAUUCCUAGUGUAGCGGUGAAAUGCGCAGAUAUUAGGAAGAAUACCGGUGGCGAAGGCGACUUUCUGGUCAUCAUCUGACGCUGAGGUACGAAAGCGUGGGUAGCAAACAGG
rnacentral:rRNA from 1 species